rnacentral:rRNA from 1 species
CAGGAGAGCUUGCUCUCUGGGUGACGAGCGGCGGACGGGUGAGUAAUGUCUGGGAAACUGCCUGAUGGAGGGGGAUAACUACUGGAAACGGUAGCUAAUACCGCAUAACGUCUUCGGACCAAAGUGGGGGACCUUCGGGCCUCACGCCAUCAGAUGUGCCCAGAUGGGAUUAGCUAGUAGGUGGGGUAAUGGCUCACCUAGGCGACGAUCCCUAGCUGGUCUGAGAGGAUGACCAGCCACACUGGAACUGAGACACGGUCCAGACUCCUACGGGAGGCAGCAGUGGGGAAUAUUGCACAAUGGGCGCAAGCCUGAUGCAGCCAUGCCGCGUGUGUGAAGAAGGCCUUCGGGUUGUAAAGCACUUUCAGCGAGGAGGAAGGGUGGUGUGUUAAUAGCGCAUCACAUUGACGUUACUCGCAGAAGAAGCACCGGCUAACUCCGUGCCAGCAGCCGCGGUAAUACGGAGGGUGCAAGCGUUAAUCGGAAUUACUGGGCGUAAAGCGCACGCAGGCGGUUUGUUAAGUCAGAUGUGAAAUCCCCGCGCUUAACGUGGGAACUGCAUUUGAAACUGGCAAGCUAGAGUCUUGUAGAGGGGGGUAGAAUUCCAGGUGUAGCGGUGAAAUGCGUAGAGAUCUGGAGGAAUACCGGUGGCGAAGGCGGCCCCC